rnacentral:rRNA from 1 species
UACGAAGGGGGCGAGCGUUGUUCGGAUUUACUGGGCGUAAAGGGCGCGCAGGCGGCUUUGUUUGUCAGGCGUGAAAGCCCCGGGCUUAACCUGGGAACUGCGUUUGAUACGGCAGGGCUAGAGUUCGGGAGAGGAGAGUGGAAUUCCCAGUGUAGAGGUGAAAUUCGUAGAUAUUGGGAAGAACACCGGUGGCGAAGGCGGCUCGCUGGGACGUUACUGACGCUGAGACGCGAAAGCGUGGGGAGCAAACAGG